UACGUAGGUGGCAAGGCGUUGUUCGGAAUUAUUGGGCGUAAAGGGCGCGUAGGCGGUUUGUUAAGUCGGUUGUGAAAGCCCGGGGCUCAACCCCGGAGGGUCGACCGAUACUGGCAGGCUAGAGUACAGAAGACGGUAGCUGGAAUUCCCGGUGUAGCGGGUGAAAUGCGUAGAUGUCGGGAGGAACACCAGAGGCGAAGGCGGGACUACUGGGCUGAC
rnacentral:rRNA from 1 species